UGGAAUUACAGGAAAAAUCUUUUUUAAACUUAACAAUUAAAGUUAUUUUUACUUGUGAAGAAACAGUAAUAAAAAUUAAGGACAAGAAGACCCUAAGAAUUUUUAGAAACAUAUUUCAAUAAAGAAGAUAUGUUUCUUUAAUUGGGGCGAUUAAUUAAUAUUAAAAACUUUUUUAAAAAAACAUGAACCGUUUAAUAGCGGUUAAUUGGUAAAAAUACUCUAGGGAUAACAGCGUAAUAAUUUUCGAUAGUUCAUAUUGACAAAAUAGUUUGCGACCUCGAUGUUGGAUUAGGAUAUUUUUUUGAUGAAGAAGUUAAAAAAAAAAGUUUGUUCA
rnacentral:rRNA from 1 species